CCCCGGGGCCCCCGCUCACCCAGGUAGCGGCUCCUCAGCCGGGACGGGUCUUCCAGCCCAAGGGACCUUUUCCUCACGUCCCACAACAGGUGCGGGCAGGAGCCACUCCGAGACAUGGCUCUGCUGGGGCUGGGGUGGAAAGGGGAGACCACCGCGGGGGGUGGGGAGGGGAAGAGAGGGAGGGGACAGGCCGAUCAACACCCGAGCGGCACCAGCACCAUGCGCGCGCCGGGCCUCGCUGGCGCCGCGACUUAGAGGGCGGCAGCCACGGCCGCGCCUUCUCCCCGGGAGCGGAGAGGCACCCGGGCCACUGCUCGCCACAUACUCUCCUCAGACUACCCAGAACAUCUAGAGAUCAGCAACAGUCCCCUCCCUCGACCCCCCUCCCGCAGGAGGCGGAGGCGAAGGCGGAGGCGGCCGC
rnacentral:lncRNA from 1 species